UUCAGUUUAAUAUAUAUAUAAUAUAAGAGAUUGUAAAUCUUUUUAAGGCCGUGCCAACUGAGA
rnacentral:tRNA from 1 species